GAUGAACGCUGGCGGCGUGCCUAAUACAUGCAAGUCGAGCGAAUGGAUUAAGAGCUUGCUCUUAUGAAGUUAGCGGCGGACGGGUGAGUAACACGUGGGUAACCUGCCCAUAAGACUGGGAUAACUCCGGGAAACCGGGGCUAAUACCGGAUAAAAUUUUGAAACGCAUGGUUCGAAAUUGAGAGGCGGCGUAGGCUGUCACUCAUGGAUGGAUCAGGGUCGCAUUAGCUAGUUGGUGAGGUAACGGCUCACCAAGGCAACGAUGCGUAGCCGACCUGAGAGGGUGAUCGGCCACACUGGGACUGAGACACGGCACAGACUCCUACGGGAGGCAGCAGUAGGGAAUCUUCCGCAAUGGACGAAAGUCUGACGGAGCAACGCCGCGUGAGUGAUGAAGGCUUUCGGGUCGUAAAACUCUGUUGUUAGGGAAGAACAAGUGCUAGUUGAAUAAGCUGGCACCUUGACGGUACCUAACCAGAAAGCCACGGCUAACUACGUGCCAGCAGCCGCAGUAA
rnacentral:rRNA from 1 species